UUUCAGAUCAGAGGAUGCAGAUCCCAAUUCUUAGCCCUCUUUCUUUAUUCUCAAAUUCUCGGGUUUGGAUCUGUGUUUCGUUUGCCAAAAUGGUGACCAUGCCUCGUUAUCUCUCUUUCUCUCGAUUCUCUUCUCCGCCAUUUGUGGUUUUUUUACCAAUCGUGAUUAAGUUUGGGCUUUCAACUCUUUAAUUGUUUGAUUUAGAUUUCGUUUUCAAUUCCAAUUGGGGAAUUCAUUUCGCAUCGCAUGAAUUUCGCAUCCAGUUAGGGGCACCGCCAUUGACGGAGCCUUGAAGGCGUACAGGGAGGCGGUGCUAUUGUCGCCGAGGUCGGUGACGUAUACGAUAAACGAAUCGCAAAUACAGGGAGAACAAGCUUUCUUGGUGCUGAUGAUUUUUAUAUUCAAGAUCACAGCUCGCUACACUACAUUUUUCCACAGGAGCAAGGUGAUCUGAAGCUCCGAGUCUGAACUUUGGAAUCUGAGAGGGCAUUCCAACGAAUUGCCACUGUUCAGAAGACAAUAGGGAAUGGCUUGCAUGUCAAUGAUCGACUUUUUGUUAUUGGUGGACAAGAGGGUGAUUUUAUGGCCAAACUAGGUAUUUGCAUUUGUGAGAAUGGACAAGGCUAAUAACUCACCCCAAAGAGCAAAUUGUCAUGUGUGUGAAUGCAUAUUGGAACUUCGGACCAAAGUCGAGGUAACAAAUAUAGAUUGUUUUUACUUCUUGGAAAAGGCAGCUCAUAAAAUUGGUCAAAUAUGUGCACCCUGCAUCUUUUUGGUUGCAGCUCUGGAGGCUCUGGUAAGUGUUUAAUUCCCUUCACAUUUCUUUUGCUUUAUUAUGUAAUUCUAAUGCUAUGUGUGUGUGUGUUUUUACAUUUUGGGUUUAUUGCUUUAAUUUUUUAUUCCAUUGGAUUAUUUAUUUAUUUUAUUUUAUUUUUUGCUGCUGCAGGUUGGGGUCGUUUCAGAUUUUGACUUGUUAGCAAUUGAUUCGAUAUCAGGUGGUCCUCAAAGUGAUACAAACGUAUUCCCCCUGCCGUUGACAGUUCUUGGAAAGAUGAACCAGGGUUAAGAGAAGUACUCAAGUUUGCAAAUGCAUGCGGAGCAAUUAUAACUACCAAAAAAGGAGCAAUCCCUGCCCUUCCCAAAGAGGAUGAUGUGUCGAACCUGAUCAAGGGGGCAUGUAAUCUUUUUAUGGGAUUCCAACAUGAUUUUCGUGGGGUUGCUGGCUAUUAAUUUUGGAGGGAAUAGUCUCUUGGUUUUCUUUGUUUUUAUUCUAUUCUUUUUUUUCACCCCUUUUCUGCAUUGGCAGAAGGAUAAUGUGCUUUUAGGUUUUGCCAAAUAAUGUUUUCUUUUAAGUUUUGAGAAUAGUUGUCGAACGAAAUUUGGAUUAAUAAGAAUUACACAAGUAUCAUU